rnacentral:rRNA from 1 species
GAUGAACGCUAGCGGCAGGCCUAACACAUGCAAGUCGAGGGAGAAGCCCUUCGGGGCAGAAACCGGCGCACGGGUGCGUAACGCGUAUGCAACCUACCUUUCACAGGGGGAUAGCCCGAAGAAAUUUGGAUUAAUACCCCAUAAUAUUGUUGGAUGGCAUCAUUUAGCAAUUAAAACUACGGUGGUGAAAGAUGGGCAUGCGUCCUAUUAGCUAGUUGGAGUGGUAACGGCACCCCAAGGCUAUGAUAGGUAGGGGUCCUGAGAGGGAGAUCCCCCACACUGGUACUGAGACAGGGACCAGACUCCUACGGGAGGCAGCAGUGAGGAAUAUUGGUCAAUGGUCGGAAGACUGAACCAGCCAUGCCGCGUGCAGGAAGAAUGCCUUAUGGGUUGUAAACUGCUUUUAUAUGGGAAGAAUAAGGUGUACGAGUACAUUGAUGACGUACCAUAUGAAUAAGCAUCGCA